rnacentral:snRNA from 1 species
AUUUUUUUCUCAGCCUUUUGGCUAAGAUAAAGUGUAGUAUCUGCAGUUUAUAUCUGGAAUGUGGUUAUAUAUCCAUUUUAAUUUUAAAUCAAUUUUUUUAUGGAGAGGCUCCAGUUUUGUGCGUAAAUCGCGUAGAUGUGUUUUUUCCGCGUCUGGCCUAACCAGA